rnacentral:rRNA from 1 species
UACGGAGGUCUCAAGCGUUGUUCGGAUUCAUUGGGCGUAAAGGGUGCGUAGGCGGCGCGGUAAGUCGGGCGUGAAAUCUCGGGGCUUAACUCCGAAACUGCAUUCGAUACUACCGUGCUUGAGGACUGGAGAGGAGACUGGAAUUUACGGUGUAGCGGUGAAAUGCGUAGAUAUCGUAAGGAAGACCAGUGGCGAAGGCGGGUCUCUGGACAGUUCCUGACGCUGAGGCACGAAGGCCAGGGGAGCAAACGGG